rnacentral:lncRNA from 1 species
GAGGAAGAGUUAGGGACCUUAGGUGAGACGGCUGAGGCGGUGGGAUGAGAAGGGAAGGGGCAGGAGACAGUCGGCAUGUACUGACAUGCAGGCGGGAAGGACCCUGGCCACCCAGCCUCGGCCAGUUCCUCUCGGGCCCGUCCCUUCAGGCCAUGUUCGUAGUGUGGACCUCCUCUGGACAGGACAGGCCCGGCCAGGGUCUUAGGGGCGGUGGGUUCCCAGUCCCUCUCCUGGAGAGGGCCAUGCAGCCCCUUCCUUGCCCUGGCUCGUCUCUCACCCUUUCCUCAGGCCCCUGUCCCCAAAGUAUCCACAAAUCCAACACUGUACAUGCUUCUGAACUCAUGCACCUGUCAGCUUGGAAGAAAACCAAACGCACCAAAAACCACAGGCCCUAAAGAUAUGGUGCAAGGAGGUGUGAAGAAAGCGGAGGGAGCAGAAACACUUUGCCUAGAACCACCAAGGGUUCCCUGUCGGAAGCCUGGUGGAGUGGCCACGCCACGGAUCCUUGAGCUGUCCCCAGAGGGGCUGGCACACUGGGCACUCUGGCUUCUGAGGCCCAGGGCAGACCCCAGCAGGAGGGGAGAAAGGCAUGGCCGUGACACGACAGGACAGGAUGAGGGCUAAUACUGACGGAGAACACGUGGUCUGCGGAGGCGGCCUCCUGGAGGCAGCUCUUGGGGGACGUCGCCCCACACCAGCCCUGCCGACUCCAGGUCCAUCUCUUACCCUGGAAUCUUCUGACACAAGCUGGACAGCGCGGGUUUAGGGAUGCACUCUGGACGGAGGAUGGCAGGAAGGCCCAUGUGAAUCCGGACGAGACAGCAGUGGGAAGGGACUGUGUCUCUCCCAGCCCAGGCAGCUUCUGAGGGUUUGCUCAUUCUUUCUUGAUACUUUUUCACUUCCACUGGCCCCUGAAGCGGGUCAUCAUUGCCAGCACACUGCAGAGGAGAUGGGGUUCUAGAAGCGCCUGGACCUGCUUCCACGCUGGUCCUGCCCACUGUCGUGGCUCCGUCUCUUCUUAUUCACGCAACACAGGGUGAGCAGUGUUUACUGCCUUCUUGAUGUCUGCUGUUCCUUUUGUCCUGGGGGCAUGGGGGCUAGGGGAGAAGGAAGAGGGGCCAGGCUUUGCCCAGAAAACCCACCGGACCCCCAGCC